GACAUUCCCAGCUUGUUGGUUAAUACUUUGACAUUAUAUCUAACUGAUUCGAGUUCGAAUCCGAUAUGCCCACAUUUUUUGCGUUUUUUUAGCCUCCCAACUAUUUCUAGGUUACCCGCUUCUUUUUCCCCAAAAUAUUUUGAGGUUUUAUUUCCCUCUCGAAUGUAGCCGCCUCCAAUCUCCCACCUUUUCUUCUUCAACAUUUUCGGCUUCAAUCUCAACUGCAAUCGACAUCACCAUCACCAGUUUAGCUUCCUCCACCAGUCGACCUUCCUGUCUCCUCGUCUGCACUCCAAAAUUUCAUUCUUGUUUCACCCAAUUUUUCAUUCCCGCUUUGUUUGCUAUUCAUUCCCGCUAUGUCAAAUUUUGUUCCCCCCAUAUACCUCAAACCAUUUUUCAUUUGAAAACGGAACCUAUACUCCGAAGUAUCUUCUCAACCCAAAACACAACGCACUGCUUCUCCCUAGAUCUUCCGUCCUUCGUAGCUUGGCCCUGGAUUCCUUCAUCCGCUUCAUGUUAUUCAUCACUACGACGCCUAGGUAUGUCUACUUUGUUUCUUCUUGGUUUUUCAGAUUUAAAGUGUAAUUUGUUGAUUAUUGAAUUAUUUUAGCAUUACGUUUAACCUAAUUUGUGUUAUUCGUUUGCAGUCGGUCAAUUGGAAACAAGAUGUUUCCUGAUUAGUAAACUCAAGUUGUUUAUGUGAUUAAUAAAAAGGUACACAUUGUAAAUCAAAACCUAGUUUGCCCAAAAUUUGAAAGUUUAAACCUUUUUUUCCUUAUUCAAUUUUUUUGCUGCUUAUAAUUGUUUUACUGUUUGUUUGAAACUUUAAUGAUGUAGAUUUUGGAUUAGUUUACUUUUCUUGCCCAUUAUUGACACAAAACAUUCAUCCAUAGCAGAGGAUGUAACACUCAAUUUUGAAUUUAUUUUGUAAGUGUUUGUUUUCCUUGCUAUGCAGGUAUCUUUGAAAGCCAAAAUUUUUCCUUUAUUCAAACCCAUUUCAUUAGUCAAAAGCUACCAUAUUCCUAAUGGGCUAAGUUUAUUUUUGGUUUCUCAUCUGUUAAUGUUAUAUGUAAAAAUGUUGUAUCCAGUGAACAUUGGAGAUGGAGCAUGCACUAUUUGGAUUAUGUCUAUAUAACAGAACAGGUAAACUAUAAUUCAUUCGGAUGAUGUUGACUAGCAAGUAUCAUGUUUAUACAAUCUACUUAUCAAAAUCAUCUUAUGUUUAAGACAUUCAAGUUGUUUGUGAAAGGUGGAGAAUUAUUGUCUUGUUUCAUCUCUUAUCAGUUUUUUAGACUACUUCCACUUAUUGUAAAUGGUUGCCCUUUCAGGUGAAGAAAAUGAAGCUCUACAAUAGGUGUAAACGUUUGUAAUCGUGCACCUCAAACACGUUAAAUGGAUCUGGAAGUAGAAGGUGUAAAAGUUUGGCUGUAGAAGAUGGUUACUGUUAGGAAAUAUGCUAAUACCAAAUCACUUAGAUGCAUGGAAUUUUGCAGUAGUGCAUUGGAGUGAAAGUGAAGGUAUUUGUAUAUCAUUUAGAUGUUAAUUCUUGUUUGUGAUUAGUAUAGUAGUUGACUUGUGUAAUAGUUACUGGUUGGUUGCCAUUCAUGAAGCUUUUUGGUGUUGUAAAUAGCAGCAUAUUUUUCAGUUUGACGAAAUUUUUUAUUUUGUUGUAUAGAUGAUAUUUAUUCUAAUAUUUAUUUUUGGAAAAUGAUGUUUUUUUAAUGUGUUAAGCA
rnacentral:lncRNA from 1 species